CACGUAGGGUGCGAGCGUUGUCCGGAAUUAUUGGGCGUAAAGAGCUCGUAGGCGGUCCGUCACGUCGGAUGUGAAAUUCCAGGGCUCAACCCUGGACCUGCAUUCGAUACGGGCGGACUAGAGUUCGGGUAGGGGAGACUGGAAUUCCUGGUGUAGCGGUGAAAUGCGCAGAUAUCAGGAGGAACACCGGUGGCGAAGGCGGGUCUCUGGGCAGUAACUGACGCUGAGGAGCGAAAGCGUGGGGAGCGAACAGG
rnacentral:rRNA from 1 species